AACGAACGCUGGCGGCAUGCCUAACACAUGCAAGUCGAACGAGACCUUCGGGUCUAGUGGCGCACGGGUGCGUAACGCGUGGGAAUCUGCCCUUGGGUUCGGAAUAACAGUGAGAAAUUACUGCUAAUACCGGAUGAUGUCUUCGGACCAAAGAUUUAUCGCCCAGGGAUGAGCCCGCGUAGGAUUAGCUAGUUGGUGGGGUAAUGGCCUACCAAGGCGACGAUCCUUAGCUGGUCUGAGAGGAUGAUCAGCCACACGGGGACUGAGACACGGCCCAGACUCCUACGGGAAGCAGCAGUGGGGAAUAUUGGACAAUGGGCGCAAGCCUGAUCCAGCAAUGCCGCGUGAGUGAUGAAGGCCUUAGGGUUGUAAAGCUCUUUUACCCGGGAUGAUAAUGACAGUACCGGGAGAAUAAGCUCCGGCUAACUCCGUG
rnacentral:rRNA from 1 species